rnacentral:rRNA from 1 species
UACGGAGGGGGCUAGCGUUGUUCGGAAUUACUGGGCGUAAAGCGCACGUAGGCGGCUUUGCAAGUCAGAGGUGAAAGCCCGGGGCUCAACCCCGGAAUUGCCUUUGAGACUGCAUCGCUAGAAUUGUGGAGAGGUAAGUGGAAUUCCGAGUGUAGAGGUGAAAUUCGUAGAUAUUCGGAAGAACACCAGUGGCGAAAGCGGCUUCCUGGUCCGACACCGACGUUCAGGCACGAAAGCGUGGGGAGCAAACAGG